rnacentral:rRNA from 1 species
AUUGAACGCUGGCGGCAGGCCUAACACAUGCAAGUCGAGCGGAUGAGAGAAGCUUGCUUUUCGAUUCAGCGGCGGACGGGUGAGUAAUGCCUAGGAAUCUGCCUGUUAGUGGGGGAUAACUCGGGGAAACUCGGGCUAAUACCGCAUACGUCCUACGGGAGAAAGUGGGGGAUCUUCGGACCUCACGCUAACAGAUGAGCCUAGGUCGGAUUAGCUAGUAGGUGGGGUAAUGGCUCACCUAGGCGACGAUCCGUAACUGGUCUGAGAGGAUGAUCAGUCACACUGGAACUGAGACACGGUCCAGACUCCUACGGGAGGCAGAAGUGGGGAAUAUUGGACAAUGGGCGAAAGCCUGAUCCAGCCAUGCCGCGUGUGUGAAGAAGGUCUUCGGAUUGUAAAGCACUUUAAGUUGGGAGGAAGGGUUGUAAGCUAAUAUCUUGCAGCUUUGACGUUACCAACAGGAUAAGCACCGGCUAACUCUGUGCCAGCAGCCGCAGUAAGAC